CUCCUGCUCUACGCACUCUUUUCAUGUUUUACUAUUGAAACCUCUCAUUUGUAAUAGAUAUACCUUAGUUUCAACCGCUCCCUCUUCUGUUCAGGUUGAGGGUCAGGAGGAAUAUGUAGUCAAAUUCGUUCUCGACUCUCGUAUUUCUCGUGGGAAAUUACAGUAUCUUGUUGACUGGAAAGGUUAUGGUCCUGAAGAAAGGUCCUGCGUAGCUCAUGAGAAUAUCCAUGCCCCUCUUCUUCUCCAGGCAUUUCAUGC